ACUGCAUUAGCUCAGUUGAUAGAGUGUUGGAGUACAAAUUCGGAGAACAUGGGUUCAAAUCCCGCCGGCGUAGUG
rnacentral:tRNA from 1 species